rnacentral:rRNA from 1 species
UACGUAGGGUGCGAGCGUUAAUCGGAAUUACUGGGCGUAAAGCGUGCGCAGGCGGUUUUGUAAGCCAGAUGUGAAAUCCCCGGGCUUAACCUGGGAAUGGCAUUUGGGACUGCAAGGCUCGAGUGCGGCAGAGGAGACUGGAAUUCCUGGUGUAGCAGUGAAAUGCGUAGAUAUCCGGAGGAACACCGAUGGCGAAGGCAGCAGCCUGGCCCAGAACUGACGCUGAGGUGCGAAAGCGUGGGGAGCGAACGGG